GACGAACGCUGGCGGCGGGCUUAACACAUGCAAGUCGAGCGGUAAGGCCUCGUCGGCGGUCCACUACCGGGGCAGGGGGGAGUAAAACGUGGAUGACCUUCCCUCAGCGCUGGGGAAAGCGUGGGAAAAUGGGUCCAAUUACGGAAAUGACCCUGAGUGGCAAGGGGGGGGGUGGACAGAUUUUUCGCCUCGAGAUGGGCCCGGGGCCUAUCAGCUUGUUGGUGGGGUGAUGGCCUACCAAGGCGACGAUGGGUAGCCGGGCUGAGAGGGCGACCUGCCACCCUGUGCCUGAGACACCGCUCGGAAUCCUUCGGCAGGGGGCAGUGGGGUAUAUUGCGCAAUGGGCGGGAGCCUGACGCAGCGACGCCUCGUGGGGGAUGUCGGCCUUCGGGUUGUAAACCUCUUUCAACCCCGACGAAUUUGGACGGUAGCAGUAGAAGAAGCACCGGCUAACUACGUG
rnacentral:rRNA from 1 species